AAGCGAGACAGUGAUGUGGAGCGGACCCCUUAAAGAUGUCGUAGUCCCGAUUUGAGUCUGCAACUGACUCCAUGAAGUCGGAAUCGCUUAGUAAUCGCAGGUCAGAAUAACUGCGGUGAAUACGUUUCCCGGGCCUUGUACACACCGCCCGUCACACCAUGGGAGUGGGAUGCAAAAGAAGUAGUUAGUCUAACCUUCGGGAGGACGAUUACCACUUUGUGUUUCAUGACUGGGGUGAAGUCGUAACAAGGUAACCCUAGGGGAACCUGGGGUUGGAUCACCUCCUU
rnacentral:rRNA from 1 species